GCCAGGUGUGGUGGCCCACGCCUAUAAUCCCAGCAGCUUGGGAGGCUGAGACAGGAGGAUCAUGAGUUCAAAGCCAGCCUCAGCAACAUCAGGCACUAAGCAACUCAGUGAAACCCUGUCUCUA
rnacentral:sRNA from 1 species